GUCCUAGCCGUAAACGGUGCAUGUUUGCUGUAAAAGGAUUCGACCCCUUUUGUGGCGUAGCUAACGCGUUAAACAUGCCGCCUGGGAAGUACGGUCGCAAGAUUAAAACUCAAAGAAAUUGACGGGGCCUGCACAAGCGGUGGAGUAUGUGGCUCAAUUCGAUGCAACGCGAAGAACCUUACCUGGCCUUGACAUGUACGUAGUAGAAGGGUGAAAGCCUGACGAGGUAGCAAUACCAGCGUACACAGGUGCUGCAUGGCUGUCGU
rnacentral:rRNA from 1 species